ACCAAUGCAGGUAAGUUUCCAACAUUAGUGACACAUCAGGAAUCCUUAGAGUCAAAAGUUAAUGAAACAAAAGCAAUGGUGAAGUUUCAACUUAAGAAAGUUCUUUGCAUGGGUGUUGCUGUUGGAAAUUGCUCAAUGGAGGAGAAACAGAUAUUCCAGAAUGUACAACUCAGUGUCAAUUUCCUUGUUUCAUUAUUGAAGAAAAACUGGCAAAAUGUGAGAUGCUUGUACCUCAAGAGUACAAUGGGGAGUGCAAUCCGCGUAUUUUAGAUUGUUUAGAUAUGGGUAGUUUGCAUUGGCUAAACCUCAUGAGUUGUGGACAUGUUAACGGGAUGUUAUUGCUGACAGUUAAUGCCCCCAUUUUUUUUUUCUGACAUUCUUAAGAUUCUUUGAUAUCAAUUGUUUUAUGAUAAUCCUUGUUUUCUGUGUCAUUAAUGACUGGCCACAAAAGAUUCAUAGAUGUAUUUGGUUAUUUGAAUUUUAUUCCGUGUUAGCUUUUUAUUUU